GACCCGAUGGUGGAGUGGUUACCACACCUGCUUUAAUUUCAUGAGAAAAUAGAAGCUCUUUCAGCAGGAGGCCCCCGUUCGAUUCAGGGUCGGGUCA